GCCAAAUGCCUCGUCAUCUA
rnacentral:ncRNA from 4 species